UACGUAGGGUGCAAGCGUUGUCCGGAAUUAUUGGGCGUAAAGAGCUCGUAGGCGGUCUGUCGCGUCGGCUGUGAAAACCUGGGGCUUAACUCCGGGCCUGCAGCCGAUACGGGCAGACUAGAGUUCGGCAGGGGAGACUGGAAUUCCUGGUGUAGCGGUGAAAUGCGCAGAUAUCAGGAGGAACACCGGUGGCGAAGGCGGGUCUCUGGGCCGAAACUGACGCUGAGGAGCGAAAGCGCGGGGAGCAAACAGG
rnacentral:rRNA from 1 species